rnacentral:rRNA from 1 species
AACGUAGGAGACAAACGUUAUCCGGAGUUACUGGGCGUAAAGGGCGUGUAGGUGGUUUGUAAGUCUGGCGUGAAAUUUUUCGGCUUAACCGGGAAAGGUCGUCGGAUACUGCAAGGCUAGAGGACGGUAGAGGCGUGUGGAAUUCCGGGUGUAGUGGUGAAAUGCGCAGAUAUCGGGAAGAACACCCGUGGCGAAGGCGGCACUCUGGGACGGUACUGACGCUGAGACGCGAAAGCGUGGGGAGCGAACAGG